GUUUUUUCGCGCUCAAUUGUCGUUAGGUAGGCCAUAUGGCAUGGCUCAAACGUGGCUUAUAUGCUUUUAGGCGUUGUAAGCUAACGGAUGCGAUCAUACCAACUCACAUGCACCGGAUCCCAUCAGAACUCCGAAGUUAAGCGAGUUUGGGCGAGAGUAGUACUAGGAUGGGUGACCUCCUGGGAAGUCCUCGUGUUGCAUCCCCUCCUUUUGUCUUUUUGACGUUUCAAUUGUCGUGGGCGUUUGCUUUCCGUCGUCUUAUUCAUCUGGCUGUCUCUGUUUUUCCACGACCCCGUGACGCAGCGUGGCAAUCGGGGGUAAAGUACGCUUAAACACUCGUCGAAAGCCCGCAAAGGAAUCAAAAUACGAAAAUGACAAAGUUUUCCAAAACUGAAUUUCGCCCCAGCAAACGGCGUCGGAUGCCCGAAAAAGCCCGUCGGUCAUGGCAGCGCAAUGAGUGGGCCUAAUUCUGAGGUCGGAGCCCAGAUAUGCGGUUUACCCGAUACGCGCGUCGCUCCAGCUCCUCUUCAACUGCUUCCGACGUCACCCCGAGGAGCCCGUCUCCAAUUAACUAGGUGCCGGAAAAGAGCGGGACCGACGCACUGCCGGAAUUAUCGGGGGGUUUUUUCGCGCUCAAUUGUCGUUAGGUAGGCCAUAUGGCAUGCCUCAAACGUGGCUUAUAUGCUUUUAGGCGUUGUAAGCUAACGGAUGCGAUCAUACCAACUCACAUGCACCGGAUCCCAUCAGAACUCCGAAGUUAAGCGAGUUUGGGCGAGAGUAGUACUAGGAUGGGUGACCUCCUGGGAAGUCCUCGUGUUGCAUCCCCUCUUUUUGUCUUUUUGACGUUUCAAUUGUCGUGGGCGUUUGCUUUCCGUCGUCUUAUUCAUCUGGCUGUCUCUGUUUUUCCACGACCCCGUGACGCAGCGUGGCAAUCGGGGGUAAAGUACGCUUAAACACUCGUCGAAACCCCGCAAAGGAAUCAAAAUACGAAAAUGACAAAGUUUCCCAAAACUGAAUUUCGCCCCAGCAAACGGCGUCGGAUGCCCGAAAAAGCCCGUCGGUCAUGGCAGCGCAAUGAGUUUUACUCGUGACGCCGUUCUCUUCAAAUCGACUGCUCGCGGGCCUAAUUCUGAGGUCGGAGCCCAGAUAUGCGGUUUACCCGAUACGCGCGUCGCUCCAGCUCCUCUUCAACUGCUUCCGACGUCACCCCGAGGAGCCCGUCUCCAAUUAACUAGGUGCCGGAAAAGAGCGGGACCGACGCACUGCCGGAAUUAUCGGGGGGUUUUUUCGCGCUCAAUUGUCGUUAGGUAGGCCAUAUGGCAUGGCUCAAACGUGGCUUAUAUGCUUUUAGGCGUUGUAAGCUAACGGAUGCGAUCAUACCAACUCACAUGCACCGGAUCCCAUCAGAACUCCGAAGUUAAGCGAGUUUGGGCGAGAGUAGUACUAGGAUGGGUGACCUCCUGGGAAGUCCUCGUGUUGCAUCCCCUCUUUUUGUCUUUUUGACGUUUCAAUUGUCGUGGGCGUUUGCUUUCCGUCGUCUUAUUCAUCUGGCUGUCUCUGUUUUUCCACGACCCCGUGACGCAGCGUGGCAAUCGGGGGUAAAGUACGCUUAAACACUCGUCGAAACCCCGCAAAGGAAUCAAAAUACGAAAAUGACAAAGUUUCCCAAAACUGAAUUUCGCCCCAGCAAACGGCGUCGGAUGCCCGAAAAAGCCCGUCGGUCAUGGCAGCGCGAUGAGUUUUACUCGUGACGCCGUUCUCUUCAAAUCGACUGCUCGUGGGCCUAAUUCUGAGGUCGGAGCCCAGAUAUGCGGUUUACCCGAUACGCGCGUCGCUCCAGCUCCUCUUCAACUGCUUCCGACGUCACCCCGAGGAGCCCGUCUCCAAUUAACUAGGUGCCGGAAAAGAGCGGGACCGACGCACUGCCGGAAUUAUCGGGGGGUUUUUUCGCGCUCAAUUGUCGUUAGGUAGGCCAUAUGGCAUGGCUCAAACGUGGCUUAUAUGCUUUUAGGCGUUGUAAGCUAACGGAUGCGAUCAUACCAACUCACAUGCACCGGAUCCCAUCAGAACUCCGAAGUUAAGCGAGUUUGGGCGAGAGUAGUACUUGGAUGGGUGACCUCCUGGGAAGUCCUCGUGUUGCAUCCCCUCUUUUUGUCUUUUUGACGUUUCAAUUGUCGUGGGCGUUUGCUUUCCGUCGUCUUAUUCAUCUGGCUGUCUCUGUUUUUCCACGACCCCGUGACGCAGCGUGGCAAUCGGGGGUAAAGUACGCUUAAACACUCGUCGAAAGCCCGCAAAGGAAUCAAAAUACGAAAAUGACAAAGUUUCCCAAAACUGAAUUUCGCCCCAGCAAACGGCGUCGGAUGCCCGAAAAAGCCCGUCGGUCAUGGCAGCGCAAUGAGUUUUGCUCGUGACGCCGUUCUCUUCAAAUCGACUGCUCGCGGGCCUAAUUCUGAGGUCGGAGCCCAGAUAUGCGGUUUACCCGAUACGCGCGUCGCUCCAGCUCCUCUUCAACUGCUUCCGACGUCACCCCGAGGAGCCCGUCUCCAAUUAACUAGGUGCCGGAAAAGAGCGGGACCGACGCACUGCCGGAAUUAUCGGGGGGUUUUUUCGCGCUCAAUUGUCGUUAGGUAGGCCAUAUGGCAUGGCUCAAAGGUGACCUCCUGGGAAGUCCUCGUGUUGCAUCCCCUCUUUUUGUCUUUUUGACGUUUCAAUUGUCGUGGGCGUUUGCUUUCCGUCGUCUUAUUCAUCUGGCUGUCUCUGUUUUUCCACGACCCCGUGACGCAGCGUGGCAAUCGGGGGUAAAGUACGCUUAAACACUCGUCGAAACCCCGCAAAGGAAUCAAAAUACGAAAAUGACAAAGUUUCCCAAAACUGAAUUUCGCCCCAGCAAACGGCGUCGGAUGCCCGAAAAAGCCCGUCGGUCAUGGCAGCGCAAUGAGUUUUACUCGUGACGCCGUUCUCUUCAAAUCGACUGCUCGUGGGCCUAAUUCUGAGGUCGGAGCCCAGAUAUGCGGUUUACCCGAUACGCGCGUCGCUCCAGCUCCUCUUCAACUGCUUCCGACGUCACCCCGAGGAGCCCGUCUCCAAUUAACUAGGUGCCGGAAAAGAGCGGGACCGACGCACUGCCGGAAUUAUCGGGGGGUUUUUUCGCGCUCAAUUGUCGUUAGGUAGGCCAUAUGGCAUGGCUCAAACGUGGCUUAUAUGCUUUUAGGCGUUGUAAGCUAACGGAUGCGAUCAUACCAACUCACAUGCACCGGAUCCCAUCAGAACUCCGAAGUUAAGCGAGUUUGGGCGAGAGUAGUACUAGGAUGGGUGACCUCCUGGGAAGUCCUCGUGUUGCAUCCCCUCUUUUUGUCUUUUUGACGUUUCAAUUGUCGUGGGCGUUUGCUUUCCGUCGUCUUAUUCAUCUGGCUGUCUCUGUUUUUCCACGACCCCGUGACGCAGCGUGGCAAUCGGGGGUAAAGUACGCUUAAACACUCGUCGAAACCCCGCAAAGGAAUCAAAAUACGAAAAUGACAAAGUUUCCCAAAACUGAAUUUCGCCCCAGCAAACGGCGUCGGAUGCCCGAAAAAGCCCGUCGGUCAUGGCAGCGCAAUGAGUGGGCCUAAUUCUGAGGUCGGAGCCCAGAUAUGCGGUUUACCCGAUACGCGCGUCGCUCCAGCUCCUCUUCAACUGCUUCCGACGUCACCCCGAGGAGCCCGUCUCCAAUUAACUAGGUGCCGGAAAAGAGCGGGACCGACGCACUGCCGGAAUUAUCGGGGGGUUUUUUCGCGCUCAAUUGUCGUUAGGUAGGCCAUAUGGCAUGGCUCAAACGUGGCUUAUAUGCUUUUAGGCGUUGUAAGCUAACGGAUGCGAUCAUACCAACUCACAUGCACCGGAUCCCAUCAGAACUCCGAAGUUAAGCGAGUUUGGGCGAGAGUAGUACUAGGAUGGGUGACCUCCUGGGAAGUCCUCGUGUUGCAUCCCCUCUUUUUGUCUUUUUGACGUUUCAAUUGUCGUGGGCGUUUGCUUUCCGUCGUCUUAUUCAUCUGGCUGUCUCUGUUUUUCCACGACCCCGUGACGCAGCGUGGCAAUCGGGGGUAAAGUACGCUUAAACACUCGUCGAAACCCCGCAAAGGAAUCAAAAUACGAAAAUGACAAAGUUUUCCAAAACUGAAUUUCGCCCCAGCAAACGGCGUCGGAUGCCCGAAAAAGCCCGUCGGUCAUGGCAGCGCAAUGAGUUUUACUCGUGACGCCGUUCUCUUCAAAUCGACUGCUCGCGGGCCUAAUUCUGAGGUCGGAGCCCAGAUAUGCGGUUUACCCGAUACGCGCGUCGCUCCAGCUCCUCUUCAACUGCUUCCGACGUCACCCCGAGGAGCCCGUCUCCAAUUAACUAGGUGCCGGAAAAGAGCGGGACCGACGCACUGCCGGAAUUAUCGGGGGGUUUUUUCGCGCUCAAUUGUCGUUAGGUAGGCCAUAUGGCAUGGCUCAAACGUGGCUUAUAUGCUUUUAGGCGUUGUAAGCUAACGGAUGCGAUCAUACCAACUCACAUGCACCGGAUCCCAUCAGAACUCCGAAGUUGAGCGAGUUUGGGCGAGAGUAGUACUAGGAUGGGUGACCUCCUGGGAAGUCCUCGUGUUGCAUCCCCUCUUUUUGUCUUUUUGACGUUUCAAUUGUCGUGGGCGUUUGCUUUCUGUCGUCUUAUUCAUCUGGCUGUCUCUGUUUUUCCACGACCCCGUGACGCAGCGUGGCAAUCGGGGGUAAAGUACGCUUAAACACUCGUCGAAACCCCGCAAAGGAAUCAAAAUACGAAAAUGACAAAGUUUCCCAAAACUGAAUUUCGCCCCAGCAAACGGCGUCGGAUGCCCGAAAAAGCCCGUCGGUCAUGGCAGCGCAAUGAGUUUUACUCGUGACGCCGUUCUCUUCAAAUCGACUGCUCGUGGGCCUAAUUCUGAGGUCGGAGCCCAGAUAUGCGGUUUACCCGAUACGCGCGUCGCUCCAGCUCCUCUUCAACUGCUUCCGACGUCACCCCGAGGAGCCCGUCUCCAAUUAACUAGGUGCCGGAAAAGAGCGGGACCGACGCACUGCCGGAAUUAUCGGGGGGUUUUUUCGCGCUCAAUUGUCGUUAGGUAGGCCAUAUGGCAUGGCUCAAAACGUGGCUUAUAUGCUUUUAGGCGUUGUAAGCUAACGGAUGCGAUCAUACCAAAUCACAUGCACCGGAUCCCAUCAGAACUCCGAAGUUAAGCGAGUUUGGGCGAGAGUAGUACUAGGAUGGGUGACCUCCUGGGAAGUCCUCGUGUUGCAUCCCCUCUUUUUGCCUUUUUGACGUUUCAAUUGUCGUGGGCGUUUGCUUUCCGUCGUCUUAUUCAUCUGGCUGUCUCUGUUUUUCCACGACCCCGUGACGCAGCGUGGCAAUCGGGGGUAAAGUACGCUUAAACACUCGUCGAAACCCCGCAAAGGAAUCAAAAUACGAAAAUGACAAAGUUUCCCAAAACUGAAUUUCGCCCCAGCAAACGGCGUCGGAUGCCCGAAAAAGCCCGUCGGUCAUGGCAGCGCAAUGAGUUUUACUCGUGACGC
rnacentral:lncRNA from 1 species